AGUGAGGAGACUGAGGAGUCGAUGCUGAAGUACGACGACAGAAGUUCAGACAUCAUUUCCAAACAGAUUUUUCUUCAUUUAAGUUAUGCCAAACAUCCUAGGUCUGACUCAACGGAACGACUAACCUUACGACUUUCACAGUUUAGAAGAAGUCCAUGCAGUGCUGCUUCUGCAAGUUUUCAUCACCUCAUCAAGACCUAAUUUUCAAGCACUACAGAACUUGCCAUUGGUCAGUUAAUGCAACUUCCUUUCCAUGUUUACACCUAGAAUGUGUUUGCAUUUUCAAGGCAAUUGGAGCUUUAUAAACACAUUUGUGGAGGGUAUCCAAAGACUGGCAACAAGGGGAAUACCACAUUUUCUUGUGAUUUUAGGGAAAUCUGCUCUCAGUCAACAUUUCUUCACCAUUUAAGAGGACAUCUUAAAAACCACGAGAGGGUUCAUUGUCCAUUUUUAAAUUGUAAUUUUGUAGCAACCAGUAACCGUACAUUCACAGCUCAUAAGAACAGGAAGCACAAAUCCCAUGGAUUAAAUGAAUUAAAAAUUAAAUGGAUUAAAUUCUGGAAAUCAGUUUGUCCUGAGAACAGGUGCAAUGAUGCGAGUCCAUCUUCUUCCUUAGGAUGUGCAUAAAUAAAAUAUUUAAUAUUGUUAGUGCAGUUUCAUAAAUGUA